rnacentral:rRNA from 1 species
AACGAACGCUGGCGGCAUGCCUAACACAUGCAAGUCGAACGAACCCUUCGGGGUUAGUGGCGCACGGGUGCGUAACGCGUGGGAACCUGCCUUUAGGUUCGGAAUAACUCAGAGAAAUUUGAGCUAAUACCGGAUAAUGUCUUCGGACCAAAGAUUUAUCGCCUUUAGAUGGGCCCGCGUUAGAUUAGAUAGUUGGUGGGGUAAUGGCCUACCAAGUCGACGAUCUAUAGCUGGUCUGAGAGGAUGAUCAGCCACACUGGGACUGAGACACGGCCCAG